UUUAAGGGCAACUCUAAGUUAUCGUGUUCAACUUUGAUCAUCCAUCUUAUUUAUAUAUUUUUAUGAUUAGUAUUUUUAUUGUUAUUAGAUGAUAAAACAUGAAUCAUAUUUUAUGUGUGACUUAUGUUUUUUAUUUUUUAAAAUAAAUUUUAAAUAAGAUGAUUACAUACAAAAAUUUAUACCUACGCUUAAA
rfam:Oryza punctata chromosome 1, whole genome shotgun sequence.